rnacentral:rRNA from 1 species
CAGUAGCCGCGGUAAUACGUAGGUGGCAAGCGUUGUCCGGAAUUAUUGGGCGUAGAGGGCUCGCAGGCGGUUUCUUAAGUCUGAUGUGAAAGCCCCCGGCUCAACCGGGGAGGGUCAUUGGAAACUGGGAAACUUGAGUGCAGAAGAGGAGAGUGGAGUUCCACGUGUAGCGGUGAAAUGCGUAAAGAUGUGGAGGAACACCAGUGGCGAAGGCGACUCUCUGGUCUGUAGCUGACGCUGAGGAGCGAAAGCGUGGGGAGCGAACAGGAUUAGAUACCCCUGUAGUCCCUGUCUCUUAUAC